UCAGGUGGCCGCAGAGAAUAGGCCCAAGCGACUGUUUACCAAAAACAUAGGUUUCUGCUAAGUCGCAAGACGAUGUAUAGGAGCUGACGCCUGCCCGGUGCUGGAAGGUUAAGGGGAUCUGUUAGAGCAAUCGAAGCAGUGAACUUAAGCCCCAGUAAACGGCGGCCGUAACUAUAACGGUCCUAAGGUAGCGAAAUUCCUUGUCGGGUAAGUUCCGACCCGCACGAAAGGCGUAACGAUUUGGGCACUGUCUCAACAACAGACUCGGUGAAAUUGUAAUUCCGGUGAAGAUGCCGGAUACCUGCGACAGGACGGAAAGACCCCAUGGAGCUUUACUGUAGCUUGACAUUGGGUCUUGGUACUACAUGUACAGGAUAGGUGGGAGGCUUUGAAACCAGGACGCCAGUUUUGGCGGAGCCAUCCUUGGGAUACCACCCUUGUAGUACUGGGACUCUAACCAUAGGCCAUGAAUCUGGUCUUGGGACACUGUCAGGUGGGCAGUUUGACUGGGGCGGUCGCCUCCCAAAAGGUAACGGAGGCGCUCAAAGGUUCUCUCAGUACGGUCGGAAAUCGUACGUAGAGUGUAAAGGCAAAAGAGAGCUUGAUUGCAAGACAUACAGGUCGAGCAAGGAUGAAAAUCGGACUUAGUGAUCCGGUGGUU
rnacentral:rRNA from 1 species